rnacentral:rRNA from 1 species
AGAAGGGAGCUUGCUCCCGGAUGUUAGCGGCGGACGGGUGAGUAACACGUGGGUAACCUGCCUGUAAGACUGGGAUAACUCCGGGAAACCGGAGCUAAUACCGGAUAGUUCCUUGAACCGCAUGGUUCAAGGAUGAAAGACGGUUUCGGCUGUCACUUACAGAUGGACCCGCGGCGCAUUAGCUAGUUGGUGGGGUAAUGGCUCACCAAGGCGACGAUGCGUAGCCGACCUGAGAGGGUGAUCGGCCACACUGGGACUGAGACACGGCCCAGACUCCUACGGGAGGCAGCAGUAGGGAAUCUUCCGCAAUGGACGAAAGUCUGACGGAGCAACGCCGCGUGAGUGAUGAAGGUUUUCGGAUCGUAAAGCUCUGUUGUUAGGGAAGAACAAGUGCGAGAGUAACUGCUCGCACCUUGACGGUACCUAACCAGAAAGCCACGGCUAACUACGUGCCAGCAGCCGCGGUAAUACGUAGGUGGCAAGCGUUGUCCGGAAUUAUUGGGCGUAAAGGGCUCGCAGGCGGUUUCUUAAGUCUGAUGUGAAAGCCCCCGGCUCAACCGGGGAGGGUCAUUGGAAACUGGGAAACUUGAGUGCAGAAGAGGAGAGUGGAAUUCCACGUGUAGCGGUGAAAUGCGUAGAGAUGUGGAGGAACACCAGUGGCGAAGGCGACUCUCUGGUCUGUAACUGACGCUGAGGAGCGAAAGCGUGGGGAGCGAACAGGAUUAGAUACCCUGGUAGUCCACGCCGUAAACGAUGAGUGCUAAGUGUUAGGGGGUUUCCGCCCCUUAGUGCUGCAGCUAACGCAUUAAGCACUCCGCCUGGGGAGUACGGUCGCAAGACUGAAACUCAAAGGAAUUGACGGGGGCCCGCACAAGCGGUGGAGCAUGUGGUUUAAUUCGAAGCAACGCGAAGAACCUUACCAGGUCUUGACAUCCUCUGACAACCCUAGAGAUAGGGCUUUCCCUUCGGGGACAGAGUGACAGGUGGUGCAUGGUUGUCGUCAGCUCGUGUCGUGAGAUGUUGGGUUAAGUCCCGCAACGAGCGCAACCCUUGAUCUUAGUUGCCAGCAUUCAGUUGGGCACUCUAAGGUGACUGCCGGUGACAAACCGGAGGAAGGUGGGGAUGACGUCAAAUCAUCAUGCCCCUUAUGACCUGGGCUACACACGUGCUACAAUGGACAGAACAAAGGGCUGCAAGACCGCAAGGUUUAGCCAAUCCCAUAAAUCUGUUCUCAGUUCGGAUCGCAGUCUGCAACUCGACUGCGUGAAGCUGGAAUCGCUAGUAAUCGCGGAUCAGCAUGCCGCGGUGAAUA